rnacentral:misc_RNA from 1 species
GGCUUCACCUACCAAAAACCCAAGUUUGGGCAAGGAAGUAUGACUUUAUGCCCAACCUGUACCAGCCUAAUAGUGGCCAACCUCUAAGAUGGGCAAGGGAAGGGAAUAGUGUUCGUGUAAUGCCCAACUCAUCAAAUUAGUAAGAUACAAUUGGGUUGAGAUUGAGUAAGAACACAAGUUGAUAGUCAAGCCAAGCUAGGCCGCAGUCCAAGGUUAAAAAAUUUAGACCCAACAUGGUUGUAGCCUAAACCACAAUUUGAAACAAAUAUACUCAG